UACGAAGGGGGCUAGCGUUGCUCGGAAUCACUGGGCGUAAAGGGUGCGUAGGCGGGUCUUUAAGUCAGGGGUGAAAUCCUGGAGCUCAACUCCAGAACUGCCUUUGAUACUGGCAUUCUCGAGUCCGGAAGAGGUGAGUGGAAUUCCGAGUGUAGAGGUGAAAUUCGUAGAUAUUCGGAGGAACACCAGUGGCGAAGGCGGCUCACUGGUCCGGUACUGACGCUGAGGUGCGAAAGCGUGGGGAGCAAACAGG
rnacentral:rRNA from 1 species